rnacentral:rRNA from 1 species
ACUGCUCAGUAACACGUAGGUAACCUGCCCUACGAUCUGAGAUAGCCUCGGGAAACUGAGGGUAAUAUCGGAUAGGGAACGGCACUGUAAUGUCCGUUUCCCUAAAGCUUCGGCGUCGUAGGAUGGGCCGGCGGCGGAUUAGGCUGUUGGCGGUGUAAUGGACCACCAAACCGAAGAUCCGUAAGGGCCAUGAGAGUGGUAGCCCUGAGAAGGACACUGAGAUACGGGUCCUAGCCCUACGGGGUGCAGCAGUCGGGAAAACUUUACAAUGCGCGAAAGCGUGAUAAGGGAAUCCUUCGUGCUCAAGUCUUACUUGGGCUUUUGCCAAGGGCAAACUCCUUGGCGAAUAAGUGGUGGGCAAGACUGGUGCCAGCCGCCGCGGUAACCCCAGCGCCACAAGUGGUACCCAGCUUUAUUUGGUCUAAAGCGUCCGUAGCUGGUUUUGCAAAUGCCUUGUGAAAUGGUUGUGCCUAACGCAACCACGCGCAAGGUAGACUACAAGACUUGGGACCAGGAGAGGUUGGCGGUAUUCUGUGGGGAGCGGUAAAAUGCUAUAAUCCACGGAGGACCACCGAUGGCGAAGGCAGCUAACCAGCAUGGAUCCGACAGUGAGGGACGAAAGCUAGGGGAGCGAUCCGGAUUAGAUACCCGAGUAGUCCUAGCCGUAAACGCUGCGUGCCAGAUGUUACACAAUCUUCGUGAUUGUGUAGUGUCGUAACGAAAGUGUUAAGCACGCCACCUGGGGAGUACGGUCGCAAGGCUGAAACUUAAAGGAAUUGGCGGGGGAG